UACGUAGGGUGCAAGCGUUGUCCGGAAUUAUUGGGCGUAAAGAGCUCGUAGGCGGUUUGUCGCGUCUGCUGUGAAAACUCAGGGCUUAACCCUGAGCCUGCAGUGGGUACGGGCAGACUAGAGUGUGGUAGGGGAGAUCGGAAUUCCUGGUGUAGCGGUGGAAUGCGCAGAUAUCAGGAGGAACACCGGUGGCGAAGGCGGAUCUCUGGGCCGUAACUGACGCUGAGGAGCGAAAGCAUGGGGAGCGAACAGG
rnacentral:rRNA from 1 species